rnacentral:rRNA from 1 species
GACGAACGCUGGCGGCGUGCUUAACACAUGCAAGUCGAACGGAAAGGCCCUGCUUUUGUGGGGUGCUCGAGUGGCGAACGGGUGAGUAACACGUGUGUAACCUGCCCUUGACUUUGGGAUAACUUCAGGAAACUGGGGCUAAUACCGGAUAGGAGCUCCUGCUGCAUGGUGGGGGUUGGAUAGUUUCGGCGGUUGGGUCUGGACUCGCGGCUUAUCAGCUUGUUGGUUGGGUAGUGACUUACCAAGGCUUUGACGGGUAGCCGGCCUGAGCGGGUGACCGGCAACACUAGGACUGAGAGACGGACCAGACUCCUACGGGAGGCAACAGGGGGGAAUAUUGCACAAUAGACGGAAGCGUGAGGCAGCAAAGCCGCGUGCGGGAUGACGGCCUACGGGUUAAAAACCGCUGUCGCCUGGGACGAAGCGUGAGUGACGGUAAGGGGUAAAGAAGCACCGGCUAACUACGUG